GACGAACGCUGGCGGCGCGCCUAAUACAUGCAAGUCGAACGAUCUCGAGACUUCGGUCUCAAUGAGAGAGUGGCGAACGGGUGAGUAACACGUGAGAAACCUGCCCUGGAGACCGGGAUAACCACCGGAAACAGUGGCUAAUACCGGAUACCUUCCCAUCAACGGAUGUUGUACGGAAGAAAUGCUCCGGCGCUUCAGGAGGGUCUCGCGGCCUAUCAGCUUGUUGGUGAGGUAACGGCUCACCAAGGCAUCGACGGGUAGCUGGUCUGAGAGGACGAUCAGCCACACUGGGACUGAGACACGGCCCAGACUCCUACGGGAGGCAGCAGUAGGGAAUCUUGCACAAUGGGCGAAAGCCUGAUGCAGCGACGCCGCGUGGGGGAUGAAUGCCUUAGGGUUGUAAACCCCUUUCGACAGGGAAGAAAAUGACGGUACCUGUAUAAGAAGGACCGGCCAACUACG
rnacentral:rRNA from 1 species